rnacentral:rRNA from 1 species
AACGAACGCUGGCGGCAUGCCUAACACAUGCAAGUCGAACGAUACCUUCGGGUCUAGUGGCGCACGGGUGCGUAACGCGUGGGAACCUGCCCUUAGGUUCGGAAUCACUCCCCGAAAGGGGUGCUAAUACCGGCUAAUGUCUUCGGACCAAAGAUUUAUCGCCUUUGGAUGGGCGAGGGUUGGCUUGGCUAGUUGGUAGGGUAAAAGCCUACCAAGGUGGCGAUCCAUAACUUGUCUGAGAGGAUGAUCAGCGACACUGGGACUGAGACACGGCCCAGACUCUUACGGGAGGCAGGAGAGGGGAAUAUUGGACAAUGGGCGAAAGCCUGAUGCAGCAAUGCCGCGUGAGUGAUGAAGGCCGUAGGGUUGUAAAGCUCUUUUACCCGGGAGGAUAAUGACGGUACCGGGAGAAUAAGCUCCGGCUAACUACGUG